rnacentral:rRNA from 1 species
CCCUUAGAUGUUCUGGGCUGCACGCGCGCUACACUGAUGAAUGCAACGAGCUCUACCCUUGACCGAAAGGCCCGGGUAAACUUGUGAAACUUCAUCGUGAUGGGGAUAGAUUAUUGCAAUUAUUAAUCUUCAACGAGGAAUUCCUAGUAAGCGCGAGUCAUCAGCUCGCGUUGAUUACGUCCCUGCCCUUUGUACACACCGCCCGUCGCUCCUACCGAUUGAAUGGUCCGGUGAAAUCUUCGGAUUGCUGACCAAGAUCCAGCAAUGGAGCUUGGUUGCGAGAAGUUGAUUAAACCUUAUUAUUUAGAGGAAGGAGAAGUCGUAACA